UCCGGUCGGGAACUCAAAGGAGACUGCCAGUGAUAAACUGGAGGAAGGUGGGGAUGACGUCAAGUCAUCAUGGCCCUUACGACCAGGGCUACACACGUGCUACAAUGGCGCAUACAAAGAGAAGCGACCUCGCGAGAGCAAGCGGACCUCAUAAAGUGCGUCGUAGUCCGGAUUGGAGUCUGCAACUCGACUCCAUGAAGUCGGAAUCGCUAGUAAUCGUGGAUCAGAAUGCCACGGUGAAUACGUUCCCGGGCCUUGUACACACCGCCCGUCACACCAUGGGAGUGGGUUGCAAAAGAAGUAGGUAGCUUAACCUUCGGGAGGGCGCUUACCACUUUGUGAUUCAUGACUGGGGUGAAGUCGUAACAAGGUAACCGUAGGGGAACCUGCGGUUGGAUCACCUCCUUA
rnacentral:rRNA from 2 species